rnacentral:rRNA from 1 species
GAUGCUGGCGUAAUGGCAGCAAGCGACCCGUCUUGGAACACGGACCAAGGAGUCUAACAUCUAUGCGAGUGUUUGGGUGUAAAACCCAUGCGCGUAAUGAAAGUGAACGGAGGUGGGUACACCAUCGACCGAUCCUGAUGUCUUCGGAUGGAUUUGAGUAUGAGCAUAGCUGUUGGGACCCGAAAGAUGGUGAACUAUG